GGUGGAUGACUGCAUGACUGCUGAGCUACUGGAGGGGCAGUCUAGAAAGAAUCCUUAGAGAUGAGGUUUUUCCAAACCUGGUUGCCUAUCAGAAUCACCUGAUGCACUUGAAGGAAAGUGCAGGUUCCUGGCCUAAUUGGCCAUAAGCACACAUGAGAGUCUGGGAGAGGCCCAGGAAUCUGCAUUUUAACAAGCUCCCAUAGGCAAAUUUGAGAAGCCACCAGAUUUGCAACUCCUGACUAUGGAAUACUUGGAGAGAAGAAACAAGAAAAUUUAGGUCCUCCAAUACGGAUUCCUCUAAACACAGUGAACUGGGUUGGGGAGGGGCUGUAUGUCCACAUCCACACUGGUCUGAGAGGGGGAACAGUAGGCUACACUAAACCCAUUAUACCCAUUCCUUUGUUUUAAUUGCCUAGUUGAACUAAUCAGAAUCAGAUGUGUGAAGGUUCUUAAGGAACUGUUCCACUUAGUUCUUUUCGUAGACAUUUUAGAAUAUCUAUUUUCUGUAGACAUGUAACUGCAAAAUAAUUUGCAAACCACACUUAUAUUGUCAUUAUAGUAGUUCAUUAUCAAUAAACAUCUUCAUGUUAAUAUCUGUAAUUACUAAGUCAAACCAUAAAGUAGUCAAAACAUGCAUAUGGAGAAUCAUCAUAUGGUUGUAGUUUGCAAAGUCAUUCCGAAGAAUGUUGAUCUGUGCACAGAACACAAAACUGGAGUCAGGCAACCUGCACUCUAGUCCUGGUUAGGUCACUGAACAGCUGUGCGACCUGGUACAAAGCAUCUCUUGGUGUGAAUUUUCCCUCAAAAAUUACCAGGCCCAUUGUGACAUCUUUAAGUCUCUACCUUCUACUAUCAUUGAGUGGGCCCAUGACUACAUGACAACAUCAUGGUGGAAAUGAUACUUCAUGUUUCAAAGGAUUCCUAAAAAUUAUUCAUUCAAAAUCCUAUUACUCUCUGCAAGGCACUGUUGUAGGUGCUGGGAAUGUAGCAGUGAGCAAAAACAGACAAAUAACUGUUUGUAAAGCUUCUAGUGAAUAUACAUUAUAGUGAACAAUAUGUAUUCUCCAAGACUCUUUAAUGUUCCUGCUAGACCUUGUUCAGUUAUUCAAAGGGAUUUGUUAGGUGAAGACUCCCUCUACCAAUCUAAUGAACAUACUUUCUCAACUGGUGAGGUCCAAGCCAGUAUAAUUUGCCUAUUUCAAGCAUUAGAGGUGGAAAUGGUAGCAACUAGUUUGUGAAAAAUGUGAAUAUUUUUUACCUGCUUUCAUGGAAAUAGCAGCAUUUAAUGAUGCCUGUUUUUAAUAAUCAUUUUGGGGAAAUCGUUUUUUUAAUAUUUAUUUUUUAGUUGUAG
rnacentral:lncRNA from 1 species